rnacentral:lncRNA from 1 species
CUAUAUUGCUUUCUCUUCUAUCUUGUUCCAUAUUUUCACAUGCUUGUAAAUCAUGCAGUCCAAAACAUAAACCUUAUCCUCCACCACCUUCAACAACACCUAAGGCCAGUCCCCCUACUCCUACUCCAUCAACAACACCUACGGCUAGUGCUCCUACUCCUUCAACAUCACAAAAAUGUCCUAAUGACACAUUAAAGCUAGGUGCUUGUGCUAAUCUUCUUGGACUUGUUAAUGUUGUUGUCGAAAGUCCUGCUUCAAGCAAGUGUUGUGCAU